CCUUACUGUUUUUUUAAUGUAUAUAUAACUUUAUUGAGGCAGAAUUUACGUACCAUAAAAUUCACCCACUGCACUGCAGAAUUUAACGAUUUUUAGUAAAUGUAUAGUUGUACAGCCAUCACAAAAAUCUGAUUUUAGAACGUUUGUAUCAUCUACCUAAAAGUUCCCUGUGUUCAUUUGGAGUCAAUACCCCUUUUGACUACAUACCCAGACACCUAGAAGUGAAAUGACUGGGUCAUAUUGAUACGGCAGCAGCAGGCAGUCCUGAGCGGCCGCUGCCAUCGCGCCGGCUGCAGCGGAAAGGUACAAGCGGUGGCGGCAGGAGCCGCUGUGGGAGCAGCAGUGGCGGCAGUGGGAGCCCUGUGCCACGCGUCCCCUGUGCGCCGUGUCCCCAAGGCAGCUGACUACACCUCCCCCACCCUCCUGCAGCAGGGUGGAUCCCACCUAGCGGGACUCCCCACCCACCCCUCCAGGCCUUCUCCACUCCGGACUCUGGCCACUUGCCACCGUUGUCGCCCGCCGCCGCUGCAGGGAGGGUGCACGGAGGGAGCAGACCGUCUCCGGAGCCCGCCGCCCUGGGGGCUGCAGUGAUGGGGCCGGGCUGAGGCACCUGCCGGCGGGGUAGCAGGGCAGUCGAGCACGGAGGGAGGGGCGGGCCUCCAGGGGACUUCAGCGGGAGCCGGGCCUGGGGCGGUGCCGCACUUGCACACGGAGUGUGGGGGGCCAGGCCUGGGACCAGGAGCUGGGGCCGGGCUUCGGCGCAGAGGCAGGAAGAGGAAGCGGCACCCGCUUCGGGGACCCAGCCGGCGGCCAGGCCACCGCGCCCACCCGGCCGAUGGCACCGUGUUCCUGCGCCUCGGGAGGGAGGAGGCUCUGCGCGGGACUGCAGGUUCUGCCCCGCAUCGGAGUGAUCGCUGAGCCUGACGCUCUCGAAGGCUGGGCCUGGGGCCCGCAAUCUACUCCGGAGGCUUUCCCACUGGGCAGGGUCGCUAGCAGGCAGGAGGAAGCAUUCCCAUGUGAAAGAUGAGCUCCCUAUAAAAGCAACGCUCUUAUCAUCGAGAACAGAAAGUUGAAGCCAAGAGAGAGCUCCACAAGCUGACCUUGUUAAACUAACCCUUAUCUUCUUAGUCGCUUCUUUACCCAAUUAACUACCCUAGCCGAAGCCCCUUUGCCUUAUUACAUUUUGCAACAGUGUUCGUUGUCCAAUUCAGUAUACAAGUGAGUGACUCUGGAUGCUUUUUGGGGUCUUCGUUUCCUUAUGAGGGCUUCUGUGCCAUGUAAAACUUGUAUUAAAUAAAUUUGUAUGCUUUUCUCCUGUUAAUCUGUCUAUAUCGAUUGAACUUUAGGGUCCAGUCAGAACCCAAAGAGGAUGGAGGUGGAGUUUUGGCUCCUCUACAGCUAUCUGAAUAAUCAAAAUUCAAGAUAUUCCAUGUUCUUUCUGAGUUUCUUUGAAAUUAAAAAUGCAGACAACCACUCAACUAAUACGUCAGCGAGAUACGUUUUCUGUCCUUAUUGCCUUACUGAUGAAAUUGCCUUUAUUCAUAAAAAAUAAAUGUGGG
rnacentral:lncRNA from 1 species